rnacentral:tRNA from 1 species
UGGGGUGUAGCUCAGUGGCAGAGUGCUCACCUAGCAUGUGUGGGGCCCUGGGUUCCAUCCUCAGCACCACAC